UCCAAAAAGUCUGCCAAAAAAACGGAGACAGCACAGGUGGUGUCAGGUUUCUGAAGCCACAACCUUCCAUUCUUUCGCGUGACCUGAAGCGUGCCAGUAGAGGAUAAUCGGGCCACAAGGAAAUCGCCAGGCCACACCUGUACACCGAUUGCACUGUUGCUUCAGCACAUCUACAUCAACGAGUAUGCGUCACAUCCGAGCCGAUGAAGUCCUCCUAUGACGUCACGUUUCCGGUAUGCAGCGUGCGUGCACUUCUCAGGAUCGCGCCUUCAAAGGCCGUGAUUCAAUAGCAGACGAUAAACAGAUUUUAGUACGUGCAGCUAGCGACAGAUGGCGCAACGUUUAAGUGGCAUUUCAGUCGCGAACCUUUCGCAACAAACAAGGGAGGUCAGCUUUUUCUCUCGUGCUCUUUUUUUUUUUAACCCUAAUUCUUUCAUGGCGGGAAGUUCAAUUUGCGGUUGAUGGUUUAUAGUUUAGGAAGAGCAACCGUGCUCAUUUGUGCUAAACGAGGCAAACGCUGGCACGGUUUCCUGUGAAGUCUGCCUAGGACGCGCGAUUUCCCCGAGCAACAGCUGCUGACAUAUCGCUCGGUAAUGACGCGCCAUCAACAACUUACCGUGCAUUAAUUCCACCUGAUGUAAUUGAUAAUUUAUGCGGAGUGGUUUAUGCCUUCGCGACGUUGUUGAUAUCCGCUGACCUGUUGACUUUACUUUGUGUGUCAAUUGUGGACCCCGAAAAUAAUUGUGAUAUUUUGCAGGCGUAUAGCGAUACUUUGAGCUCAACUCUGUUCAAAUAAACAAACGACAUAAUUUAGUCGGA